GUAACCUGGUUGAUCCUGCCAGUAGUCAUAUGCUUGUCUCAAAGAUUAAGCCAUGCAUGUCUUAGUGUAAAUAACUCUUAUGAAACUGCGAAUGGCUCAUUAAAUCAGUUAUCGUUUAUUUGAUGGUCCCUUACUGCAUGGAUAACCGUAGUAAUUCUAGAGCUAAUACAUGCACAAAGGCCCGACUCACGAAG
rnacentral:rRNA from 1 species